AAUAGAUACCCGGGUAGUCCACGCCGUAAACGAUGAGUGCUAAGCGUUAGAGGGUUUCCGCCCUUUAGUGCUGCAGCUAACGCAUUAAGCACUCCGCCUGGGGAGUACGGCCGCAAGGCUGAAACUCAAAGGAAUUGACGGGGGCCCGCACAAGCGGUGGAGCAUGUGGUUUAAUUCGAAGCAACGCGAAGAACCUUACCAGGUCUUGACAUCCUCUGCCAACCCUAGAGAUAGGGCGUUCCCCUUCGGGGGACAGAGUGACAGGUGGUGCAUGGUUGUCGUCAGCUCGUGUCGUGAGAUGUUGGGUUAAGUCCCGCAACGAGCGCAACCCUUGAUCUUAGUUGCCAGCAUUCAGUUGGGCACUCUAAGGUGACUGCCGGUGACAAACCGGAGGAAGGUGGGGAUGGACGUCAAAGUCAUCAUGCCCCUUAUGACCUGGGCUACACACGUGCUACAAUGGAUGGUACAAAGNGCUGCGAACCCGCGAGGGUAAGCGAAUCUCAUAAAGCCAUUCUCAGUUCGGAUUGUAGG
rnacentral:rRNA from 1 species